rnacentral:tRNA from 1 species
UCCUGGAUAGCUCAGUCGGUAGAGCAGCUGGCUGUUAACCAGCGGGCCGGGGGUUCAAAUCCCUCUCCAGGAGCCA